rnacentral:piRNA from 1 species
UGCUUUGGGAGCUCGAUUAAGUGAAAGUC